GAGUUUGAUCCUGGCUCAGGACGAACGCUGGCGGCGUGCUUAACACAUGCAAGUCGAGCGGAAAGGCCCUUCGGGGUACUCGAGCGGCGAACGGGUGAGUAACACGUGAGCAACCUGCCCCUGGCUCUGGGAUAGCCUCCGGAAACGGGGAUUAAUACCGGACAUUCUCCUUCUUCCGCAUGGUUGAGGGUGGAAAGUUUUUCGGCCAGGGAGGGGCUCGCGGCCUAUCAGCUUGUUGGGGGGGUAACGGCCCACCAAGGCGACGACGGGUAGCCGGCCUGAGAGGGCGACCGGCCACACUGGGACUGAGACACGGCCCAGACUCCUACGGGAGGCAGCAGUGGGGAAUAUUGCGCAAUGGGGGAAACCCUGACGCAGCGACGCCGCGUGCGGGAUGAAGGCCUUCGAGUUGUAAACCGCUUUCACCAGGGACGAAGCGAGAGUGACGGUACCUGGGGAAGAAGCG
rnacentral:rRNA from 1 species